ACGUGGUUGGCUCAGUUGGUGGAGCAUGUGACUCUUGAUCUUGGAGUGGUGAGUUCAAGCCCCACAUUGGGUG
rnacentral:tRNA from 1 species